ensembl:lncRNA
GGCAGGGCAGGAUGGAUAUAGGUCUGUAACAGUUUGGGUCUAGAGGCAGGGCAGGAUGGAUAUAGGUCUGUAACAGUUUGGGUCUAGAGGCAGGGCAGGGCAGGAUGGAUAUAGGUCUGUAACAGUUUGGGUCUAGAGGCAGGGCAGGGCAGGAUGGAUAUAGGUCUGUAACAGUUUGGGUCUAGAGGCAGGGCAGGGCAGGGCAGGAUGGAUAUAGGUCUGUAACAGUUUGGGUCUAGAGACAGGGCAGGAUGGAUGUAGGUCUGUAACAGUUUGGGUCUAGAGGCAGGGCAGGAUGGAUAUAGGUCUGUAACAGUUUGGGUCUAGAGGCAGGGCAGGAUCGAUAUAGGUCUAACAGUUUGGGUCUAGAGGCAGGGCAGGGCAGGGCAGGAUGGAUAUAGGUCUGUAACAGUUUGGGUCUAGAGGCAGGGCAGGAUGGAUAUAGGUCUGUAACAGUUUGGGUCUAGAGGCAGGGCAGGAUGGAUAUAGGUCUGUAACAGUUUGGGUCUAGAGGCAGGGCAGGAUGGAAAUAGGUCUGUAACAGUUUAGGUCUAGAGGCAGGGCAGGAUGGAUAUAGGUCUGUAACAGUUUGGGUCUAGAGGCAGGGCAGGAUGGAUAUAGGUCUGUAACAGUUUGGGUCUAGAGGCAGGGCAGGAUGGAUAUAUACGUCUGUAACAGUUUGGGUCUAGAGGCAGGGCAGGAUGGAUAUAGGUCUGUAGCAGUUUGGGUCUAGAGGCAGGGCAGGAUGGAUAUAAGCCUGUAACAGUUUGGGUCUAGAG